rnacentral:rRNA from 1 species
ACGAGAAUCUAUGGAUAGAGGAUUCGUCCAAUUGAAAUAGAGGACAGUGGCGAACGGGUGAGUAAUGCAUGAGCAACCUGCCCUUCAGAGGGGGACAACAGUUGGAUUCGACUGCUAAUACCGCAUAACAUUUUGGGAAGGCAUCUUCCUGAAAUCAAAGAUUUAUCGCUGAAGGAUGGGCUCAUGUCUGAUUAGCUAGUUGGCGGGGUAACGGCCCACCAAGGCUGCGAUCAGUAGCCGGUCUGAGAGGAUGAACGGCCACAUUGGGACUGAGAUACGGCCCAGACUCCUACGGGAGGCAGCAGUGGGGAAUAUUGGGCAAUGGGCGCAAGCCUGACCCAGCAAUGCCGCGUGAAGGAAGAAGGCCCUCGGGUUGUAAACUUCUUUUAUCAGGGACGAAGGAUGUGACGGUACCUGAUGAAUAAGCUCCGGCUAACUACGUGCCAGCAGCCGCGGUAAUACGUAGGGAGCAAGCGUUAUCCGGAUUUACUGGGUGUAAAGGGCGCGUAGGCGGGAUGGCAAGUCAGAUGUGAAAUCCAGGGGCUCAACCCCUGAACUGCAUUUGAAACUGUCGUUCUUGAGUACUGGAGAGGUUGACGGAAUUCCUAGUGUAGCGGUGA